UAAAGGUUGGAGGUAAAGGAAAGAGAAAGCAUUUGAAAGACAAUUUAUUGUUUACAAUUAAAACCGGAGGAUUAAAGUUCAAAGGUGAGAACCCAGCCUGCAAUUAAGGCUGGUGAGAGGACUUAAACAACCUAUUAUAUGACAAUUACCACAAAUGAGAACAGGAGGUAAUCCAUUGAUUGCAUUCGUGAGCACCCUGCCUCGUUAUCCAUCAUCGCAGCCAAGCACCUUUGCGUUCCCUGAACGUCCCUAGCUAUGUGCAUGGGCCAAGCUACUUUUCCCUCUUUAAGAACCAGGUGCUGUUCCCCGGCUGUUUGACUUUCUCAGAACUCAUACAACCCUGACCAGAAUCAUUUUGUCCCUAAGGACAGAGCCCGAGCCUGGAACAAAUUCCGGAGCAGAGUUCUAGUGAAAUGAGACAAGGCCUGUCUGGUUUGGAAAAGGAGCCACAUUGCUUAUUGAAGUGUGAAAUUGAAAUCCAUGGAGUCUGUGCUUAUCAAAAGCUCAGUGAAGGAGUCAGGGAAGACAGAGGAGAAUCCCAGAGUGGAGAACCUCACAGCGGGCUCGGAGCUCUCCUCGGUGCUGAGACAGCACAGUACGGAAUGCCCUGACCUGGGACCGACCUGGCACAUGUAGGCUGUGUAGUAUUUUGCAAGGACAAGGAAAUCAUUCAGGAAAUUUGUUUUGUGGUGAGGGCAUUAUUCCUUUACCAAAGCCUUCAUCUUUUCCCUAUCAUCAGAGCUUCUGUGACAUUAGAACCCAGGUGGUCCCUCGGCUUUCACUGCCUUCCUCUUGAUUCUUGUUCUGUCUUUAUUUUAAUGAAAUAAAACCUCUGA